rnacentral:rRNA from 1 species
GGGAAUUUUCCGCAAUGGGCGAAAGCCUGACGGAGCAAUACCGCGUGAGGGAGGAAGGCUCUUGGGUUGUAAACCUCUUUUCUCAGGGAAGAACAAAAUGACGGUACCUGAGGAAUAAGCAUCGGCUAACUCCGUGCCAGCAGCCGCGGUAAUACGGAGGAUGCAAGCGUUAUCCGGAAUUAUUGGGCGUAAAGCGUCCGCAGGUGGCAAUUCAAGUCUGCUGUUAAAGGUUCUGGCUCAACCAGAGACAGGCAGUGGAAACUGAAUAGCUAGAGUGCGGUAGGGGCAGAGGGAAUUCCCAGUGUAGCGGUGAAAUGCGUAGAGAUUGGGAAGAACACCGGUGGCGAAAGCGCUCUGCUAGGCCGUAACUGACACUCAUGGACGAAAGCUAGGGGAGCGAAU